UCAAGUCAUCAUGGCCCUUAUGUCCAGGGCGACACACGUGCUACAAUGGCCGGCACAGCGGGAAGCGGAGGGGCGACCCUGAGCGGAUCCCUUGAAAGCCGGUCCCAGUUCGGAUUGCAGUCUGCAACUCGACUGCAUGAAGUUGGAAUCGCUAGUAAUCGCGGAUCAGCCAAGCCGCGGUGAAUACGUUCCCGGGCCUU
rnacentral:rRNA from 1 species